ACUCCUACGGGAGGCAGCAGUGGGGAAUAUUGCACAAUGGGCGCAAGCCUGAUGCAGCCAUGCCGCGUGUGUGAAGAAGGCCUUCGGUUGUAAAGACACUUUCUAGCAGUGAGGAAGGCGGGUAGUGUUAAUAAGCAUAUUCGUUUGUACGUUAGCUGCAGAAGAAAGCACCGGGCUAACUCCGUGCCAGCAGCCGCGGUAAUACGGAGGGUGCGAGCGUUAAUCGGAAUUACUGGCGUAAAGCGCAUGCAGGUGGUUUGUUAAGUCAGAUGUGAAAGCCGGGGCUCAACCUCGGAAUAGCAUUUGAAACUGGCAGACUAGAGUACUGUAGAGGGGGUAGAAUUUCAGGUGUAGCGGUGAAAUGCGUAGAGAUCUGAAGGAA
rnacentral:rRNA from 1 species